rnacentral:rRNA from 1 species
AGUGAACGCUGGCGGUAGGCCUAACACAUGCAAGUCGAACGGCAGCACAGUAAGAGCUUGCUCUUACGGGUGGCGAGUGGCGGACGGGUGAGGAAUACAUCGGAAUCUACUUUUUCGUGGGGGAUAACGUAGGGAAACUUACGCUCAUACCGCAUACGACCUACGGGUGAAAGCAGGGGAUCUUCGGACCUUGCGCGAUUGAAUGAGCCGAUGUCGGAUUAGCUAGUUGGCGGGGUAAAGGCCCACCAAGGCGACGAUCCGUAGCUGGUCUGAGAGGAUGAUCAGCCACACUGGAACUGAGACACGGUCCAGACUCCUACGGGAGGCAGCAGUGGGGAAUAUUGGACAAUGGGCGCAAGCCUGAUCCAGCCAUACCGCGUGGGUGAAGAAGGCCUUCGGGUUGUAAAGACCUUUUGUUGGGAAAGAAAAGCAGCAGGUUAAUACCCCGCUGUUCUGACGGUACCCAAAGAAUAAGCACCGGCUAACUUCGUG